GGCGACCGGCGCACGGUUGAGUAACGCGUAUCCUAACCUGCCCUUUACUAUGGGACAGCCCGUUGAAAGGCGGAUUAAUACCGUAUGUUGUCAUGUUGAUGCAUAUUUUCAUGACCAAAGGCUUCGGCCGGUAAAGGAUGGGGAUGCGUCUGAUUAGCUUGCCGGCGGGGUAACGGCCCACCGGGGCGACGAUCAGUAGGGGUUCUGAGAGGAAGGUCCCCCACAUUGGAACUGAGACACGGUCCAAACUCCUACGGGAGGCAGCAG
rnacentral:rRNA from 1 species